rnacentral:rRNA from 1 species
GCUCAGUAACACGUGGACAACCUACCCUUGGGACGGGGAUAAACCCGGGAAACUGGGUAUAAUACCCGACAGAUCUCGAAUGCUGGAAUGCUUCGAGGUCGAAAGCUCCGGUGCCCAAGGAUGGGUCUGCGGCCUAUCAGGUAGUAGUGGGUGUAGCGUACCUACUAGCCUACGACGGGUACGGGUUGUGAGAGCAAGAGCCCGGAGAUGGAUUCUGAGACACGAAUCCAGGCCCUACGGGGUGCAGCAGGCGCGAAAACUUUACAAUGCUGGAAACAGCGAUAAGGGGACCUCGAGUGCCAGGUUACAAAUCUGGCUGUCGUGAUGCCUAAAAAGCAUUGCAUAGCAAGGGCCGGGCAAGACCGGUGCCAGCCGCCGCGGUAACACCGGCGGCUCGAGUGGUAACCGUUAUUAUUGGGUCUAAAGGGUCUGUAGCCGGCCGGAUAAGUCUCUUGGGAAAUCUGGCAGCUUAACUGUCAGGCUUUCAGGGGAUACUGUCUGGCUCGAGGCCGGGAGAGGUGAGAGGUACUUCAGGGGUAGGGGUGAAAUCUUGUAAUCCUUGAAGGACCACCAGUGGCGAAGGCGUCUCACCAGAACGGACCUGACGGCAAGGGACGAAAGCUAGGGGCACGAACCGGAUUAGAUACCCGGGUAGUCCUAGCCGUAAACGAUACUCGCUAGGUGUCGGCCACAGUGCGACCGUGGUCGGUGCCGUAAGGGAGCCGUGAAGCGAGCCACCUGGGGAGUACGGCCGCAAGGCUGAAACCUAAAGGAAUUGUCGGGGGAG